CUUUACUUCAUGUAAACAGUUAAAGUCAGUCGCGGCGCCGACAUUGGCGCUGCGACUGACUUUUCUACUGACCCUGUGUAAAUCAGCUCUUAUAUUCUGAGUAUUAGUAUAGUAUAGUAUAGGUACUAUGAAGCCAAUCGUCAUUAUACGCUCCAAAAGACUUAGCUGUUAAGCCGACCUGUUCACAUAAAGACAAAAAGCUGCAAUGCUCUGAAAUUAGUAUGAAUGACUUACAAUCUUUUCAUGAAUCUUUUUAUGCCGUAAAGGACAAAGUAAAAAAGGUUAGUUCAUAUUAAAACAUGUUAUAGCUGUG